UACGUAGGGGGCAAGCGUUGUCCGGAUUUAUUGGGCGUAAAGAGCGUGUAGGCGGCCUUACAGGUCAGCUGUGAAAACUCGAGGCUCAACCUCGAGACGUCGGUUGAAACCGUAUGGCUAGAGUCCGGAAGAGGAGAGUGGAAUUCCCGGUGUAGCGGUGAAAUGCGCAGAUAUCGGGAAGAACACCCGUGGCGAAGGCGGCUCUCUGGGGACGGUACUGACGCUGAGACGCGAAAAGCGUGGGGGAGCAAACAGG
rnacentral:rRNA from 1 species